UUUUGAGACCACCCUAAACGUGCCCAAUCUUGUCUGAUCUCAGAAGCUAAGCAGGGUCGGGCCUACAUCUCUUUCACAAGUGGCUGUAAGUUUCUAGGUUCAUAGU
rnacentral:rRNA from 1 species